CUUUUAGGAUUGGGAUGGGUUUUAGAUGUUGGAAUAUUGAACAGUAAGACUUGGGUUUAGUUGAUCCAUUUAGGACUCUUGAACUUAUAGCUUGAAAUGAUUGACUUGUAGGCUUGAACUUUAAGAAAUUGGACUCAUGGAUAGUGUGAGGAUCCCUUAGUUACUCUAGUUGGAUAUGAAUAACCUUGUUACGCAUGUUGUGGGUAGAUGACCCUAGUGAUUUCUUUAAUAGAAGUGCAUUCGAUACUAUGGUUGAUUUAGGUGUAGUGUUUAGGGAAAAACCUUUACCUUAGGAUUAUUGGUGGCUUGCUAUACAUCUAAGAAUUGAUUUGGAUACCUUAGCCUAGUCCCGGGUAGAAGUUGGACUUAGAAUGUGUUUGGGGAAUUAGAAGGGGGUCCUUGACCCACCUUGAUCUUGGAUUGAGGUAGUUCUCUUGAAGACCUUAGACGACUACUAGAUACCUAGGAAAUGCUCUCUUGGAAGCAUGCUGGCUAAAUUGAGUAAAUUGAUUAUGGUGAUGACAUUAGAAGCGAUGUAUAUAGUUUGUUGACUAAAUUACCAUUAAUGUUAUUAGUAACUAUGGUUUAUGCUAUCAAUUAAGCCCAUAUCUAUAUUAUCAUGUGCGUCAUUGAUUAAGCUAAUUUUUUGCACUUUGGACUUUACUAUUGCUCAUGUCGUACUCUUGUUUAGUAACCAAACUAGUAACCAUGCUAGAAAUCCCUCAUAUUGCUAAUAUUAUGAGUCAUGAUAUUAAUGAUCCUAGAAGGCAUGCUUAUUGACUACAAGGGAAGUUAUAUUGCUAAUUAUGCUUGAAGCUUGAUAAUAGUUGUAAUACUCAUGUUAUAUAUAUACAUAUAUGUAAUACCCCGUAUUAUUCUUA
rnacentral:lncRNA from 1 species